UGAUACAAUAAGGCCAAAUCAUUGAAAAUAAAGAAUUUUCAUCAACCCUAUCACUUUGCACGACCAAGACUCUGAAAAACGGAUAGAAAAGAAAACCAAAAACCAUUUCUUGGCUGGUUUGAAGAAAUUCUAAGGAGAUCCAAGUGAAAUCAAAGCCAAAGAAGUGGAUUAAGCUUAGUUCUAGCAUUUUUAUGAUAUUUCAUGGUGGUUUCCAAGUGAUUUAAGGUUUAGAAAAGCUAGAAGAGAUUGUUUUUGCCGAAAAGUUGCUCGGAUAAGCACAUCAACACCUAAGACACUACUUGUUACACGGUGAAUUAUAUUUUGGACAGAAGGUAGAGAAAGAAAUGAGUGAAUGACAUAAGGAGAACUGAAGCAUGGUCCUGACCCUGAAUUGUACAUAUGAACAUAUCGACCUUUUUGUGGGUUAUUUCAAUUAUUAGUGUGAUGUUUGUAAUAAAGUGUGAAGUUAUGUCUUGAAAACAAAUUGGGUUAUUUAAUACUUAUGUAUAAUAUGUUUGAGACACACUUUAUGUUUAAUGUAAAUAAUGUGAAAUAAG